AGUGGCGGACGGGUGAGUAACGCGUGAGAAUCUGCCUUGGGGUCGGGGACAACCACUGGAAACGGUGGCUAAUACCGGAUAAGCCGAUUGGUAAAAGAUUUAUUGCCCGAAGAGGAGCUCGCGUCUGAUUAGCUAGUUGGUGAGGUAAGAGCUCACCAAGGCAGCGAUCAGUAGCUGGUCUGAGAGGACGAUCAGCCACACUGGGACUGAGACACGGCCCAGACUCCUACGGGAGGCAGCAGUGGGGAAUUUUCCGCAAUGGGCGAAAGCCUGACGGAGCAAGACCGCGUGAGGGAGGAAGGCUCUUGGGUUGUAAACCUCUUUUCUCAGGGAAGAAGCUCUGACGGUACCUGAGGAAUCAGCCUCGGCUAACUCCGUGCCAGCAGCCGCGGUAAUACGGAGGAGGCAAGCGUUAUCCGGAAUUAUUGGGCGUAAAGCGUCCGCAGGUGGCGAUUCAAGCCUGCUGUCAAAGCACGGGGCUUAACUCCGUAAAGGCAGUGGAAACUGAAUAGCUAGAGUGCCGUAGGGGUAGAGGGAAUUCCCGGUGUAGCGGUGAAAUGCGUAGAGAUCGGGAAGAACAUCGGUGGCGAAAGCGCUCUACUGGACGGCAACUGACACUCAGGGACGAAAGCUAGGGGAGCGAAUGGGAUUAGAUACCCC
rnacentral:rRNA from 1 species